AGUGAACGCUGGCGGUAGGCCUAACACAUGCAAGUCGAACGGCAGCACAGUAAGAGCUUGCUCUUACGGGUGGCGAGUGGCGGACGGGUGAGGAAUACAUCGGAAUCUACUUUUUCGUGGGGGAUAACGUAGGGAAACUUACGCUAAUACCGCAUACGACCUACGGGUGAAAGCAGGGGAUCUUCAGACCUUGCGCGAUUGAAUGAGCCGAUGUCGGAUUAGCUAGUUGGCGGGGUAAAGGCCCACCAAGGCGACGAUCCGUAGCUGGUCUGAGAGGAUGAUCAGCCACACUGGAACUGAGACACGGUCCAGACUCCUACGGGAGGCAGCAGUGGGGAAUAUUGGACAAUGGGCGCAAGCCUGAUCCAGCCAUACCGCGUGGGUGAAGAAGGCCUUCGGGUUGUAAAGCCCUUUUGUUGGGAAAGAAAAGCAGCAGGUUAAUACCCCGCUGUUCUGACAGUACCCAAAGAAUAAGCACCGGCUAACUUCGUG
rnacentral:rRNA from 1 species